rnacentral:lncRNA from 1 species
CAGGCACCAGGCCAUCGCCACAUGGGCUCUGUGAGCGCAGCCAGGGCUGGUGUCCACGCUGAAAUGAGCCCGUGAGGGCAAAGCGGAAAGCAGUGGGCGAAGCUGUAAGGACAGUGGGAAAGCCGGAAAACCUUUAGCAGUGAAGAAUACUGUACCAAUGAUUGCUUGGCCCAAACGCACUCCAGCUGAUGUGCAUCCUAUCUAUAAGCCGUGAAGAUCUCUUUCUGCUCUACUUCCACUGGGUCUAUACUUGGACGAACCAAAGAGAAUGCAAAGACUGAUCAAAUUUAAAUUGAAAAACUGUUAUAAUAAAAAACACGCUGCCAUUGAGUCACUCUCAGACUAUUCCCUUCUUCAAAUGUGCUGAUCCCGUCAUUCUUACCACUUUCUGAAACAGCUCUGAAAGUCCUCUUUUGUGAAGGGCUUUGUGUGGUAUGUUCAAAAUUACAGUGAAAACUGCUUCAACUGUCACCCAGUGCAAAGCUUCCGAGUCAUCGCCAAGUCACACUGUCUCAGGACUGUGGAUCUCGGAGCCACUGAGAAGCUGCUAAGAAUCUCAAAAGAAAAGUAUUCUCUUAUCAGCUUUUCUCAGAUGCAGA